AUUGAACGCUGGCGGCAGGCCUAACACAUGCAAGUCGGGCGCGCGGCGGACGGGUGUGUAAUGUAUGGGGACUGCCUGAUGGCGGGGGAUAACUACUGGCAACGGUAGCUAAUACCGCAUACCUUCCGAUAACCCAUAUGGGAUUCGCUUGUAGGUAAGGUAACGGCUUACCUAGGCGACGAUCCCUAGCUGGUCUGAGAGGAUGAUCAGCCAAACUGGGAAUGAGACACGGCCCAGACUCCUACGGAGGCAGCAGUGGGGAAUAUUGCACAAUGGGCGCAAGCCUGAUGCAGCCAUGCCGCGUGUAUGAAGAAGGCCUUCGGGUUGUAAAGUACUUUCAGUCGGGAGGCGGUACCGACAGAAGAAGCACCGGCUAACUCCGUGCCAGCAGCCGCGGUAAUAC
rnacentral:rRNA from 1 species